rnacentral:rRNA from 1 species
UUUCCUACGGGAGGCAGCAGUGAGGAAUAUUGGUCAAUGGGCGGGAGCCUGAACCAGCCAAGUCGCGUGAGGGAAGACGGUCCUAUGGAUUGUAAACCUCUUUAGGCGGGGAGCAAUGCCGGGCACGCGUGCCCGGAGGGAGAGUACCCGCAGAAUAAGCAUCGGCUAACUCCGUGCCAGCAGCCGCGGAAAUACGGAGGAUGCGGGCGUUAUCGGGAUUUAUUGGGUUUAAAGGGGGGGAAGGCGGAUUUUUAAUUCAGCGGUAAAAUGUCCGGGCUCAACCCGGGCCGGCCGU